ACUAUUAAUAAACCGUCAAAUCAUCUAAUAAAAAAAAGUAUUUAAAGUAUUUUCGAAUUAGGAAGAAGUUUUGAUGGUAUUACAUAACAGAAGAUUUGCAAGAUAAAAGGAUACUGAAGAUACCAUACUUCCAAAAUAACAGUCGUCUUAUAAUAAAUUGCACAUGGAUCAUAUCUUAAUUUUGACGGAAAAUAUGGAAAUUAGAAAAGACCCACUUGAACAAAUUUGAAUUAUUAGUGAUUGUAAAAAACCUGAAAAACCAACUGCUUGAAUCAUAUUUGAUUUUUUAAUAUUAUAGUAAGAGAGUUUGCUUGGCUAUAAUAUAAGUGCCAAAAUUUUACUUGCGAUUUAACUAUUUUUACGGAUUAGGUGCGUUUUUGUUAGGUUUAGUGAAAAAAUUAAUAUUUUAAGAUAUUCUAUUUUAUAUAUUUAUGAAAUAUAGGCAAUUUCAUCUAA